rnacentral:tRNA from 1 species
CCGUUAGCUCAGUUGGUCAGAGCAGAGGACUCAUAAUCCUUUGGUCAUUGGUUCAAG